AUACGGAAGGUCCGGGCGUUAUCCGGAUUUAUUGGGUUUAAAGGGAGCGCAGGCGGAGAUGCAAGCGUGACGUCAAAUUUCGGGGCUCAACCCCGUCUCGCGUCGCGAACUGCGUCCCUUGGUUGCGGGAAGGGGAGGCGGAACUCGUGGUGUAGCGGUGAAAUGCAUAGAUAUCACGAAGAACUCCGAUCGCGAAGGCAGCCUUCCGGCCCGUCAACGACGCUCAUGCUCGAAGGUGCGGGUAUCAAACAGGAUUAGAUACCCUGGUAGUCCGCACAGUAAACGAUAGACACCCGCGGUUUGGCCUAUAUGGCUGAGCCGCCAAGCGAAAGCGUUAAGUGUCCCACCUGGGGAGUACGCCGGCAACGGUGAAACUCAAAGGAAUUGACGGGG
rnacentral:rRNA from 1 species